CCUGCCUCAGUCUCUCCCGAGUAGCUGAGAUUAUAGGCCCCAGGCUGAAGGGAUGCUGAGAGGUGUUUGGGACCUGAAGGCUCUCUGCCCAGCUGAGUGGAGUCACCACACUUUCUUCUGGGUUUGCCCAUCAGCUCCAGCUCCCUGCCACGGCUUCCCUCAGCUAUCCUGUGUGCCCUCUUCUAAUCCCAGGACAGACUCAGGGACAUCACUGUGAUCCUCCCCACGUGGCCCAACCACGGUGCCAGGAACCAGGAGCCAGGAGCCACCCUAGGAGCUGGCGCCUUUUCCGAAGGGGGAAUGUCCUCCAAUUAAAAUUAACCUCGAGCCCAAGAA